UUGAAACAUCUUAACAAGCACUAAUUAAAUGUCGUGCUUAAAAAAUAUGGCUUAAGAAAGCCAAAUACAAUAACUUCUUACAGAUGGUUUUAGGAACUAACAAGACCUGUAGGAAAUGGCGCAUUAAGAUUAGUGUCCCCGAAGUCUCUUACAACCAUUAGUGACUGAAGGUGCUGUGCACUUUAGAAGGAAAUAAUCAGAAUUUGCCUGAUGUGAAGCUGUUUGUUUUUUUUUCUCAUUUCUCUCUGAAGGGAACUGCGCAUCUGUCAGUGCAUUACACAGUCAAUAUUGACACGGCCAGCCAAUGGAAUAUAAAAGGAGCAUUAGCAGCCUUGAAAUCUAUUUUUUUCUGAAGGGGUGCAAAGCCAUCCUGAAAAACAAUUGAGUCUUCAUAACCGGUCUGCACCUUACCCAGCCACCUCAUUUCUCACCAUUUUCCACUACAGACUCUGAUAACAAUGAGGCCAGCCUUCUUCAUUCAGCAUUCUCUCCACUGGUUUUGCCCUGGAACACCAACAAUGACCACCAAGCCCCUCUGCUCAUCUUCAGCAUCUUCAUUCUCCUGCAUUUGUUCAGCCAUUGAACACUGAACACUCUGACAAAUACUGUCCUAUGUACUGGGGAUGCUUCUGGGAGCAAGAAAGAGAAGUUCACUGCCAUCAAGGACCCUCUGAGAGAGCUCCUGACAGUAAACAGGGUGUUCCCUGCCAGCAUCCUCCUCCCUAUGUGAAUCCUCCAGCUCUGAUGCUCUCUCCUCUGUGAAGUCUCUUUUAAUUACCAUUAACUCAUUAUCUUCUCUCUCUUUUUUCCUACAGCUUGUGGGCUGUUUCAUAUAAUUUAAGGUAUGAUUUUAUUUUUUAAAAUUUUCACCUAAAAAGCACCACCCAGGAAACUGUUUUUUUUUUUUUUUUUUUCCAUACUCUUAUAACCCAGAGUAGACAUCAAAUGCUUGUUGAUUUCAGAAGAGCACAUCAGAAAAGCUGGGCAUGUGUGAGAAACUCUCCCAGGAAACAGAACCCACCAUUGCCCCUCAGUGGCACCUAUAUGGUGGGCUGGUCGGCCCUGCUGGGAGGGCGGCACUAGCAAGGACAGUCUGAUUCACGGCUUGUCCAAAGCCAACCGCAGGGGAAGCCAUGCUCAAGGACAUCUUCCUGCUGCCGGCAAAAGACGAGUGUCUCCUAGCAACCGGCUUCCAGUGGCUUCCUGUCCUGGGAGCCUCCCUGCGCUCACAGCUUUACAUCCUGGGGUUUUGUAUUUUGGCCUUGCUAAUCACUGUGUUUAUUCUAGGUUCUGAAAAUUGAGGAAUAAAUGCAGGUUAGCUGCUGACAUUCAAGCGGAGACACCAUUUUAUUCAUAACCUCCUUUCAGCAACCACUCAUGACUUUCAUGGAAUAGAAUGUUUGAUCUUAGUGUAAAAAGGGUAAAUAUAUUUUUUAAAGAUUUCAUUUAUAUCAAGGCAGUUGGUUUGAAAGAUACAUAAAAAAGGAAAAGCACACAUUCUUUCCAUCGAAUAAUCAAAAAGUACUCAGACCUUUUCAAAACAGAUACACUAUCAUUCAAAACCUGUUACAGCAAUAAACUCUAACUUGGCAAGUUCACAGAUGCAGAAGGAAAGGCAAGGCAAAUUGGAAGAAAAUGGUUCAAAGGUCCUUAAAAGUUUUGGUGGCUUAAAAUUAUGUCUGCUGCAAUAUGGAUUGAGCAUUUAUUUCCUCCAUGUUCUUCCUAGAGAGUCUAACCUUAGUUUCAAGGUAUAUAGUGCUACAUUUUUAUUUUUGUGGGAUUGAACUCCGCAGUUGAUGUUGCUUUUUAACAUUUUCUCUUGUUUUUAUCAAAUAUUCAUCAAGACACAAAUUCCUCAUCUGUUAAAAAAAUUAAUCAGACUUCCCACAGUGAAGAGCUCAAGUAUAUCCUUUAUUCAAUAAGUAUAUCCUUUAUUCAAAAAACCCAUAAAUGUAAGUUAAAGGUAUGAUUACUUGUCUCUUUCAAUAAGAAAACUCAAAGACUUAAGGUGAGUUGAGUGCCCAGAGUUAAAUAUAUGAGAGGGCUGGUAAACCCCAGAACUCUUUUCCAGCAAAGCCACCAAAGCCUGGUACUGCCCGGGGUUCCCUGAGCAGCAAGUUGAGGUUUGGAGUCUGCUACUGCUGUAUUUAGGCAGUGAGCUUGGUCUCUGCAGACUUGUGAGUUCUUUGGAGGUAUCCCUCAGUUCCUCCCCCCAUUUCCCUCCCCCUGUCCCAGCAAUACAGCCACAAAGUCAUGAGUCCAAGAUUAAUUCUAACUGUUUUGGCCAUAGUAGACCCUCUAUAAACCUAAGAAUGACUUCUGCCUUCUCAGGGAUAGUAUAGGAUUUACCAGGUAGCACCAGUGACUUCCAACUUUUCAGCAUCUACUUUUGAAAUUUAUCCAUGGAUGGAGUUUUUAAUAGGGGGUGUUGCACAUCCCUUAGAAUAACUCACAGGCUUCUUAGCUUCCUCUUUUGGGUUCUGUACAUAUUUGUUUCAGGGGUACAAAAUGAAUCACAUGGCUACAGCAGGGCACUCCUGAAUGACUCUUGCUUAUUCAUUAAAGAAACUUGUACAUGAAUCAAGGCUUUCCUUAUGGUCUCAGGCUGUUCUUCAUUCCCUGAAAUGGUCAGAACACCCAUCAAGCAUCUUGGAAGAAUGCAUAUCUUUAAAGGCCAUAAAGAAAGAAUGUUUGGUUAAAAUGAAAAACUGCUCUGCCACCCACUCGUCUGAGUUCUCCUUUCUUCAUCUUUAAUCAAUAUGUAAAUCUGUUCACUUGAUGUUUUAAUACAAGUUGAGGUAAAUUCAGCUUCAUCAUGUUUCUCCACAGAGAGGAAAAAGUAACCCUGACUCUUCCUCUGGCCCUUUUCAAAUAUCUACAUGCAGUGGUGGAAUGAGCUGAGGACAUGAAAGGCCCUGGGAGGCAGGCCUGUGUCUUACCCUGCUGGGCCUAGUAUUCCAACCACCACACAAGACUAAUUCAAGAAUAACAGGCAUGGGUCCCAACCUUAAUCAUUUCUAUUUUCAUUAUGGUUUACACAUUAAUUGUAAAUGACCAGAUUGAUUAGGGACUCUUUUAAAAAGCCAGACAGAUUGGGAGGCAGUGCAGGAUAGCAUUAACUGUAUAGGUUUGACAUUUCCAUAGACCUGGACUAAGCAUCCAGACUUGUCAUUUACUAGCUGUGUGACCUUGGGAAAGUCACUAGGCUUCUCUGGGCCUCAUAUUUUCCUUAACUAUAAAAUAGGGAUUGUAACUACCUGUAUGAAAAUCAGUGUGAGAAUAAAAUGAAACAAUGUAUGCAAAAGAUUUUGCAUGGUGCCUGUAACUACCGUUUAUUGAAUAAAAGAUUGUAAUACAUACUGCUUUGAUAUGUGUGGCA